UUAAUUAGGAUUUCUGCUUUUUUGUCUGCUGUAAGGAGAGGCCUUGGUAUUUUGCUCAAAACUGUCAACUGUUUGGAGGAGGAUCCUAAGGAAGACAAUGAAGC